rnacentral:rRNA from 1 species
GAUGAACGCUGGCGGCGUGCUUAACACAUGCAAGUCGAACGGGGAAAGAGAGCUUGCUCUCUGGAUCAGUGGCGAACGGGUGCGUAACACGUGAGCAAUCUGCCCCUGACUCUGGGAUAAGCGCUGGAAACGGCGUCUAAUACCGGGUACGAGCUGCGAAGGCAUCUUCAGCAGCUGGAAAGAACUUCGGUCAGGGAUGAGCGCGCGGCCUAUCAGCUAGUUGGUGAGGUAACGGCUCACCAAGGCGUCGACGGGUAGCCGGCCUGAGAGGGUGACCGGCGACACUGGGACUGAGACACGGCACAGACUCCUACGGGAGGCAGCAGUGGGGAAUAUUGCACAAUGGGCGAAAGCCUGAUGCAGCAACGCCGCGUGCGGGACGACGGCUUUCGGGGUAUAAACCUCUUUUAGCAGGGAAGAAGCGAAAGUGACGGUACCUGCAGAAAAAGCACCGGCUAACUACGUG